UAUUUGGUAAACACACGUCUUUUCAUUCCCCACCUUCAAAGAAGACAGAGGAGAGGAAGAGAACAGAGAAAAAGGGAGAAGAGAAAGCGAGCCAGGAAGUCUCCGCCGACCGGCGAUGCAGGCUGCCCGAUGCGAAGUUGGGUCAUCGCACUGGCGGUUAACCGCCGUAAUCCAAGUGGUGGCUAGGGUUUCGUUGGUAACAACAACUACACUAGCAAGAUGAUUCAUUCACAACAUGAACAUUAUCUUUCUUAAUCAAUUGUUUGCAUCAAUUCGGGUAGCUUCUUGCUCUAUUUCUUCUUGUCUUUGUUUAAAUUCACAUAUUAAAUUCAAAAUCUCACAUAGCAACAUGGAUCUACUGCCUUCAUUGAGUUCUAAACAUGUUGAUGCUGUAAUUUAGUUAAAUAGUUGUUUAGGGUUUUAUUCAAAUUUGGGUUUUAUUAGCUUUUGACAAUUGGGGAUUUUGAAUUUCUGAUGGUGUAUAGAAAAUUGGUGAAUUAUUUAUGUUACUUGGUAAAAUUAAGAACAUAAAGAAUUAAUGGAAGAUUAUUCUAAGUAUUCCCAUAGUCCUGCUCCUCUAGCUGUUGCUCAACGAGACCAUACCAUGUUUAAGAAACUUAUGACUAUCCUCUGAUAGUUGGCGAAAGCUGGUGCGGCUAACACCUAGGCUGAAUCUGUAGCUGCUGAUCUUGAUGCGGAUAUCACGUUGCUUAUGUUAAACACUAAUUCCAUUCCGACCACAUUGACAGCCACCGUGACCAUUUCGUAACCAUCGCCCUCUGCUAACCAGAAUUUUUGCCUCAGUUUAUAUUCUAAUACGCGACAAGGUACCUUAAUCGAACUACCUUUCGAUUUCAAAUUACUUAUUCAGUUAGGUACCUUAAUUGAACUACCUUUCGAUUUCAAAUUACUUAUUCAGUUAAUUGGUUUGCUCAUUUUGUUGAACUCUGUUAUAAUACUCAAUACACCACAUUGAGAAAAGAAGGGUUCUAAAUAACAAAGUAUAAGCACAUUUGUAUAUGUAUUCUAUCUAUAUUUUUGAUUCAUAGAUCAGCAAAGGAAUCUAGUUGUGAUUCCGAAUUUGUGGGAUUGGAAGGUUGUUGUUGGCAUCUGCACGUCAUAUGGAUAUGUAAGAAAUAAUAUCACCUGCUUUUAGUUGAUUUCAAAUAAUAUUGUUCUUAUUAUUUGUUAUUAUGCAGAAAAGAAUAUUGCUUGAUGUGAUGUGAGAUUGUAUGAAUAAACGUUUGGCCAUAUAUACUACUUUGAAAGCAACCUUUAUUAUGGGAAGUCCUAUAUACAACCUUAGUUAUAAAACUCUCCACUAUAUAUCUUGCCUUCAUAUAUGAAAGAGAGUUCAGACCUUAUUCCAUCUAAUAUUAGAAGUAGAGUUGGAUGUUCAAUUAUUUCCAAGACUUUUGCCAUAAAAGCUUAGAUAUUGAAGAAAAGAAACUGUCAAGCCUGGUUUCAAUAAGCGAGAGAUGCGUAUAGGUCUCGAAAGCCAAGGUGCCAGACGUGAGAAUUAUAAAAAGUCUGAUGUUUGAAGAAUUUAUAUAUCAUGUUUAGCACACAGAUGUAGCUCAUAAUAUAAAAAAAUCACCAGCUGUUGACAACAAUCUCUACUGUCGUUGAUCUCAACUACCCGGAGAAAACGAUCACAUUUUAUAUAGUAAAUGUGGCAGACGAGAGGCGCGUGUUGGUCAGCUUGUAGGGGGAAAAAGUUGCUCAAACCUGUGGAUGAAUCUCAGGAUCGUACAAAAGGCAAUAGUUGAGAGAGUUGGCUAUUCUAAACAAUAACCUUCGAUAGCAUAGUACGCAGCCAAGAGGCAGUGUGUCGCCUUUUGGUUCCAACAGAAAAAAAACGUGCCAAGACCAGGUUCCGAGGAACCCGACAUCGUAUUUAUUUGCUUAUGAAAGAAACAAUUACUGUAUUUAUUUGUUAUCAACCUGUGUGUAUUAGUGUACACAAUUAUUUGUAUAACGUUGUAGUUAUAGUUGUUACUCGGAUUUUGAUAACGAAAGAAUUAUGAUAAGCUUAAACACAA